rnacentral:lncRNA from 1 species
AAAGGACACCUUCAAAAGUAAAACCAUUAUUUAGAAAGCUCUUACUAGUUGAUAGAAUAGAAAAGUACACGCAGGAUAACAAAUACAUAAACUGAAUUCAAGGAUAAACUUAAAAUUGUUCAUGAAUAAUGUACAAGUAUUCAAACGGUAAGUUGCAAAGGAAGGUGCCAAAAUUAUCCUAAUGAAAAUGCUCUAAAAUCUUCAGUAAGUGGUUUAAAAAGUCCCCAAUUUGGAGGGUGCCGAAAUUUACUUGUAGUGCAUCACCAUGCUUUCUAUCUGCACACUGUAUCCCUAGGAAGAACGAAUGAAAUACAUAACAAGGUUAAUUUAUAUACUGAUUCAACUGACUCAUUAGCAAUUCCAGUAAGGUUCCUAAUAAAAUAGACUAUUAUGAAAUUUAGAUCGAACUCUCAAAUUUUGCAAACCAUCUCCACUAUUUCAAAGCAAGUAAAACGUUUAUGUCAUUUGGUCAAGCUAUUCAAAAAAUUGCACCCAAACUCACGAAAAAGACAGGUUCAAAAACAAGCACUUUACAAACUAUCAUCAUAUGUGUUACACAUAGAACAGAUCAGGUCUCUGUUUGAUUCUUAUAUGUACCUUUUACUCCUUAAAAAUCGGUAUAAAGCAAAAGAAAAUCAUAAUUUAUCAGAAACAAAAAGCGACUAAAAUAAAAUUCCCAAUUCUUAGAAUUCAGAAGGAAAAAGAAAAUGUAUUGUUUGUGAAGACUUGCAGUUUAGCAAAUUGGAUGGCAUUGCCACCGACACCUGAAAAGCAAUCAAUGACAAGUUCAUAGCCACCGCACUUCUCCGCAUGCCUCAUGGCUAUCUCUACGGGAGCAACAGAAAACCAACCUUCCUCAUCCAUUUUAAUUCCUUCAUCGUAUUUUGAAAAAAGAUGGUAUCUUUGAAACCAAUAGUUCUCAAUUAAAGGAGUAAUAAUUCCCUUUUCUUUCCCUCUCUUCUUCCAAUUUUUCUUAACUGGAAUUAGAAAUAAAAUAAAAUUAAAAAAGAAAUGGUGAAAGCUGUUAAAGAAUUGACUUGACCUCGCCUCAUCCGCUUCGCAAUAGCAUGAUCUUCAGCUGGCCCAUGAAUUUGGAUUUUGUGGCUUCUACUUCAUCGGAAUUGGGAAUAAUUAGGUUGGGCGGGAAACCGACCUGACAUUAGGAAUUUUGGAUAGGAUUUUCGGUGGGCUUUUCUAUUGGGUACCUAAGUAGCCCAAAUGAUG